rnacentral:tRNA from 1 species
GGCUGGAUAGCUCAGCUGGUUGGAGCGUGGUGCUGAUAAUGCCAAGGUUGCAGGUUCGAUCCCCAUAAGGGAUGGCUG